rnacentral:rRNA from 1 species
UGGGGAAUUUUGGACAAUGGGGGAAACCCUGAUCCAGCCAUCCCGCGUGUGCGAUGAAGGCCUUCGGGUUGUAAAGCACUUUUGGCAGGAAAGAAACGUCGCGGGUUAAUACCCCGCGAAACUGACGGUACCUGCAGAAUAAGCACCGGCUAACUACGUGCCAGCAGCCGCGGUAAUACGUAGGGUGCAAGCGUUAAUCGGAAUUACUGGGCGUAAAGCGUGCGCAGGCGGUUCGGAAAGAAAGAUGUGAAAUCCCAGAGCUUAACUUUGGAACUGCAUUUUUAACUACCCGGGCUAGAGUGUGUCAGAGGGAGGUGGAAUUCCGCGUGUAGCAGUGAAAUGCGUAGNUAUGCGGAGGAACACCGAUGGCGAAGGCAGCCUCCUGGGAUAACNCUGACGCUCAUGCACGAAAGCGUGGGGAGCAAACAGGAUUAGAUACCCUGGUAGUCCCACGCCCUAAACGAUGUCAACUAGCUGUUGGGGCC